rnacentral:lncRNA from 1 species
CUUGGUGAAGUAAUCGAUGGCGACCACUAUGAACUUCUUCUAACCAGAUGUUGGAGGGAAAGGAUCAAGUAUAUCAAUCUCCCAUUUGCAAAGGACCAUGGCAUGACAAUUGAUAUUAACUGACUUGCCAGUAGGUGUUGUAUAUUUACAUAUUUCUAAUAUGGUUCACACCUUUGGACAAGUUCAGCCAUAUUUUUCUUCAUGGUGGGCCAAUAAUAUCCUUAACGUAGGACCUUGUAAGCUAGAGCUUUGCCCCCCAAGUGAUUUUUACAAAUCCCUUCAUGAACCUCCUUGAGUGCAUAA